CCUACGGGAGGCAGCAGUGGGGAAUCUUGCGCAAUGGGCGAAAGCCUGACGCAGCGACGCCGCGUGGGGGAAGAAGGCCUUCGGGUUGUAAACCUCUUUCAGCAGGGACGAAGCCACUCGGGUGAAUAGCCCAGAGGGUGACGGUACCUGCAGAAGAAGCCCCGGCUAACUACGUGCCAGCAGCCGCGGUAAUACGUAGGGGGCAAGCGUUGUCCGGAUUUAUUGGGCGUAAAGAGCGUGUAGGCGGCCAGGCAGGUCCGUUGUGAAAACUGGAGGCUUAACCUUCAGACGUCGAUGGAAACCGUCUGGCUAGAGUCCGGAAGAGGAGAGUGGAAUUCCUGGUGUAGCGGUGAAAUGCGCAGAUAUCAGGAAGAACACCCGUGGCUAAGGCGGCUCUCUAGUACGGUACUGACGCUGAGACGCGAAAGCGUGGGGAGCGA
rnacentral:rRNA from 1 species